rnacentral:rRNA from 1 species
UACGAAGGGGGCUAGCGUUGCUCGGAAUCACUGGGCGUAAAGGGUGCGUAGGCGGGUCUUAAGUCAGGGGUGAAAUCCUGGAGCUCAACUCCAGAACUGCCUUCGAUACUGAGAGUCUUGAGUCCGGGAGAGGUGAGUGGAACUGCGAGUGUAGAGGUGAAAUUCGUAGAUAUUCGCAAGAACACCAGUGGCGAAGGCGGCUCACUGGCCCGGUACUGACGCUGAGGUGCGAAAGCGUGGGGAGCAAACAGG